rnacentral:misc_RNA from 1 species
AAGUCGUAACAAGGUUUCCGUAGGUGAACCUGCGGAAGGAUCAUUAACACGAUCCAACGUUAAACCCCCUGUGAACCUUCAUUGUACGAGUAACAUCCACGUCAUAAACCAGCAAUCAUCGCCGAACAGUUUUGAUUCAGAGACCUCUGGGAAGGGUGUACGGUAGUGCGAGGCAAUUGACCUGGCAUUCCUCUGCUUGUUAGUGUCACUAGCUAUGUACGGAUGGCGCAGAACAUAACGAUCGCUGGCCGGCGACCAGGUCACUGGUCUACGGCCCCCCUGAUCACAACCUUUGCAUGAAAACGGGCCUGCGCUGAGGUGCGGCCACCCCUAAUGCUUGAACAACUGUUAACAAUGGAUAUCUUGGUUCUC